CCUACGGGAGGCAGCAGUGGGGAAUAUUGCACAAUGGGGGAAACCCUGAUGCAGCGACGCCGCGUGAGGGAAGAAGGAAUUCGUUAUUGCAAGCUCUAUCAGCAGGGAAGAAAAUGACGGUACCUGAGUAACAAGCCCCGGCUAAGUACGUGCCAGCCGCCGCGGUAAUACGUAGGGGGCAAGCGUUAUCCGGAUUUACUGGGUGUAAAGGGAGCGUAGACGGCGGUGCAAGUCUGGUGUGAAAGGCGGGGGCGCAACCCUCUGACUGCUGUGGAAACUGUACGUCUAGAGUGCAGGAGAGGUAAGUGGAAUUCCUUGUGUAGCGGUGAAAUGCGUAGAUAUUAGGAGGAACACCAGUGGCGAAGGCGGCUUACUGGACUGUAACUGACGUUGAGGCUCGAAAGCGUGGGGAGCAAACAGGAUUAGAUACCCUAGUAGUC
rnacentral:rRNA from 1 species